GAACGCACAUUGCGCCCGCCGGCACUCCGGCGGGCAUGCCUGUCCGAGCGUCAUUUCAACCCUCAGGCCCACCCUUCCGGGGGAGCGGGCCUGGUUCUGGGGAUCGGCGGCCCUCGCGGCCCCCGUCCCUCAAAUUCAGUGGCGGUCGCGCCGCAGCCUCCCCUGCGUAGUAGCACAACCUCGCACCGGAGAGCGGAACGACCACGCCGUAAAACACCCAAUUUUUUAAGGUUGACCUCGGAUCAGGUAGGAAUACCCGCUGAACUUAAG
rnacentral:misc_RNA from 1 species